GUUGCGGAAGCGACGAUAAUAUUAAUAACAAUAUUAUCAGAAAUAUUUAGAUAAUUAUUAUGCCAACAAUUAUACUAAGAAAAUUCCCAGUUAAAUUGGAGGGGUUACAAAUGGUCCCGCUUAAAACCCAACAACUAGACAGAACUCACUUAGAUAUUUAUAGCAAUAAUAACUAAAUAAAUAUAACCAACAUAAAGCUAUUAAAUAUAAGCAAACAAAUAAGAAAUAAAAUACCAGAGAUUUAACGAGGUUCGGCCAAUUUAGCUUACGUCCUCGGACACUACCAAAUUAAUAUUUCUUCUAGAAAUAUUACAAAUGAGAAGAUUUUGGGAUGAUACAACCAAAGGGGGAGGGGUUCUAUAUAUAACAAACCAAACCCCCUCCCUUUCUAUCUUUUCCUAAUGUGGGAUAUUGCCAAUAUUCAACAAAUCUCCACCUUGGCGAUAUUCCACAUCUUCGAACAUCUUCUCAUAACACUAACUUCAAUAGUGUCUUCAAAUUUGCAACCAAUCGCCUUCUUCCCUUUUGGUAGUUGUGCCAGCUUCCACGUCUUGUUUUUCUCUAGAGAUUGCAUUUCCUCUUCCAUUGCACCUAACCAUCUAUUAUUCUCUAAACUCUGAAUGGCUUUGGUGUAAGUGGAUGGAAUAUUAUCAACAACUGGAAGUGCAUAAGCUACCAUGUCAGUGAAACGAGCAGGUUUCUGAAUUUCUCGUCUCUGCCUUCUGACUGCAAUUGGCUCUGAUUGCUGUUGAGGUUCUUGGGUAGAAACCUCUUCCUCAUCUGACUCUGCAUCUGCCAAUGAAGAAUCACUAGUGGUACCUUCUGCUGGAAUUACCACACUCUGCUCAAACUCCACCUGCUGCGGAGUACACUCCACCUGUUGCGAAGUACUACUCACUCCUUCUGGAUUUACCUUAUUCAACAUGGCAGAUUCAUGAAAGGUAACAUCCCUACUGAUUAUCGUCUUCUUUGCCUCUAGACACCACAAACGAUAUCCCUUAACACCAGCAUUGAAGCCCAUGAAUAGAGCCUUCUUUGCUCUUGGAUCUAACUUUGAUUCUUUCACAUGAUAAUAUGCAAUAAAACCAAAAAUGCGCAAGGUGUCAUAAUCAGUAGCAGGUUUUCCAUACCAUUUCUCCAAAGGAGUCUUGCCAUUUAUAGCAGAUGAUGGAAAAUGAUUGAUGAGAUGUUGAGCGUACGUCACAGCCUCAGUCCAAAACUUUCUAUCUAAUCCAGCAUUAGAUAACAUACAUCGAACUUUCUCCACAAGCGUUCGAUUCAUACGCUCUGCCACCCCAUUCUGUUGCGGUGUUCCACCUACGGUGAAGUGCCUUACUAUGCCACAAUCUUGGCAUAUCUUUAGGAAAUGAUCGCUUUUAUAUUCUCCACCGUUGUCUGAUCGGAGAACCUUAAUCUUCCUUCCUGUCUGAUUUUCAACUUUAGUUUUCCACUUAAGGAAAACUUCAAGUACCUCAUCUUUGUUCUUCAUAGGAAACACCCAAACUCGUCUGGAAAAAUCAUCAAUAAAGGUGACAAAAUAACGUCUUCCUCCAAGUGAUGGAGUCUUGGACGGUCCCCAUACAUCAGAAUGCACAUAAUCCAGAAUACCUUUAGUAUUGUGAAUCCCAGUGCCAAAUUUCACCCUUCGUUGUUUUCCCAGAACACAAUGCUCGCAAAAUUCAAGUUUGCAAGUCUUUGUACCUUUCAAUAAUCCUUGCUUGGCUAGAGUUUGCAAGGAUUUUUCACCAGCAUGGCCCAAACGCAUAUGCCACAGCUUUGUUGCCUCAGCGUCCUUCUUGGUACUCGAAAUUGCUGCUGCUGUUGUCCCGACCACUGUACUACCUUGGUAGUAAUACAGAUUGUUCUUUCUUAUGCCUUUCAACAUCACCAAUGCUCCUGAAGUUGCUUUAAGAACUCCAUCUCGUAUUGUCACAACUAGGCCUUUAGAUUCUAACGACCCCAAAGAGAUGAGAUUCUUCUUCAACUUUGGGACAUAUCGUACAUCCCGCAAAAUUCUAGUAGAUCCAUCAUGACUCCUCAGUUUAAUUGAACCUAUCCCGGCUAUUUUACAUGUGUUAUCAUUACCCAUGUAAACAACCCCUUCAUCUAGUUUUUGAAAUUCAAAGAACCAUUCCCGAAUGGGACACAUAUGAUAGGAACAACCAGAAUCCAUGAUCCACUCAUCUGCAUAUAAUGUUGAAGAUGUCAUACUAAGAGAAAAGUCUGACUCUGCUUCACUAUUGCAUUCUGCAACAUUUGCAUCUUGCGGAGUCUUCCCUUUUUUCUUCAAUUUUGGACAAUCUUUCUUCCAAUGUCCUUUUUCUUUGCAAAAGGAACAUUCAUCUUUGGCAACAGCUCGACCUUUGGACUUUCUUCUCUUCUCAUUAGACUGACUUUGCUGACGACCUCUUGUUACCAAUGCUUCCACUGCUGCUUCACCUGAACCUUUCAACUUAUCCUUUCGGCGUAGUUCAUAGCUAUACAAUGCAGCAGUUACUUCAUUGAAAGUUACUUCCGAUUUUCCAUGAAGUAGAGUAGUUUCAAGGUACUCAAACUCCUCAGGAAGCGAUCCCAACAACAUUAACGCCAAGUCUUCGUCUUCAAAAGUCACAUCCAAAUUCAACAAAUCAGCCACCAGCUGAUUAAAAUUGGUAAUGUGCUCGUUCAUCGUGGUACCAGGAACAUAAUUGAAACGAAACAGUCUUUUCUUCAUAUGCAACUUAUUUUGACUGUUCUUCUUCAAGAAUUUCUCCUCCAAUGCUUUCCACAAUUUACUUGCAGAAGUCUCUUUACUGAAUGUAUACUUCUGCUCUCUGGAAAGACAUGAUCGAAUUGUACCACAUGCCAAUCGGUUGAUGGUCUUCCAUUCUUUAUCAUCAACCCCUUCUGGUUUUUCUUCCUCAAUGGCAAUAUCUAGACCCUGUUGAAAGAGGGCAUCUAGAAGCUCACUUUGCCACAUGCCAAAAUGACCUGUUCCAUCAAAAAUUUCCACUACAAAUCUCGUAUUUGCAGUUCCAAUCCUCGGCAAAAUGUACGAAGUGGAAGUUGUUGAUAUGGAUGGUUUUUCUUCUGUCAUUUUUGCCAUAGCUUCUACUUAAUAGCCACCAAAUGCAGAAUACCCACAAGCUUUAGGAAAAUGUUUCUGAUGUGUAAGAUCAGACUAAGCUGCAAACACAGAGCAUACUACAAAACCUUGGCUCGAAUACCAAUUGUUGCGGAAGCGACGAUAAUAUUAAUAACAAUAUUAUCAGAAAUAUUUAGAUAAUUAUUAUGCCAACAAUUAUACUAAGAAAAUUCCCAGUUAAAUUGGAGGGGUCACAAAUGGUCCCGCUUAAAACCCAACAACUAGACAGAACUCACUUAGAUAUUUAUAGCAAUAAUAACUAAAUAAAUAUAACCAACAUAAAGCUAUUAAAUAUAAGCAAACAAAUAAGAAAUAAAAUACCAGAGAUUUAACGAGGUUCGGCCAAUUUAGCUUACGUCCUCGGACACUACCAAAUUAAUAUUUCUUCUAGAAAUAUUACAAAGGAGAAGAUUUUGG
rnacentral:lncRNA from 1 species